rnacentral:lncRNA from 1 species
CACUGGUGGCAGAGGAAACAUAGGAAAAUUUGAAUCUAGAACCUUCAGAAAUUUUUCUACUGAAAAAUGGGGAAGGCAUCAUGAAAUGAGAAAGAUGGAGGGCAGGUGUGACUCUGCAGAGGAAAUGAAGUUGGUCCUCGGGCUCCUGCUGUCCAUGGCAUGGGCAGUGCUCCAAGCAAACAUCACCCUGACUGGAAAGCAAAGUAAGACCUCAUAUAAUAUAUUAUUAUUACAUAAUUUUAUAUAAUAAUAUGUUAUAUUGUUAAUAU